UGGUGGCGAGUGGCGAACGGGUGAGUAACAUAUCGGAACGUACCCUAUCGUGGGGGAUAACUAUCCGAAAGGAUAGCUAAUACCGCAUACGACCUGAGGGUGAAAGCGGGGGAUCGCAAGACCUCGCGCGAAAGGAGCGGCUGAUAUCUGAUUAGGUAGUUGGUAGGGUAAAGGCCUACCAAGCCGACGAUCAGUAGCUGGUCUGAGAGGACGAUCAGCCACACUGGAACUGAGACACGGUCCAGACUCC
rnacentral:rRNA from 1 species